rnacentral:rRNA from 1 species
UACGUAGGUGGCAAGCGUUGUCCGGAAUUAUUGGGCGUAAAGGGCGCGUAGGUGGUUGAGUAAGUCAGGUGUGAAAGCUCUGGGCUUAACCCAGGAAUUGCAUCUGAUACUGCUCGGCUUGAGUACGGUAGAGGAGGGUGGAAUUCCCAGUGUAGCGGUGAAAUGCGUAGAUAUUGGGAGGAACACCGGUGGCGAAGGCGGCCCUCUGGACCGAAACUGACACUGAAGCGCGAAAGCUAGGGGAGCAAACGGG